rnacentral:lncRNA from 1 species
GGUGUAGAGGAGAGGGUUAGAAAUAUAUUGUGGGUGUGGUUCUCGGGUCACUCUAGGUGCACAAUUGUUCAGAUAUUGUCCAUGCGACCUAAGGCUUCCUAUAGUCAGGAUGGCUCUGAUACCAUUUCUGUGGGGACCCCGACUUACUAGUCGAGAAUCGCCGUGCUCAGUGAUCCCAGAGAUCAAUGCUCACCGAACACAGAUACUGAAUAAAGAGUCUUACAUCCAAGUACUGAUUAUUAC